GGGGAUAUGGCUCAGUUGGUAGAGUGCUUGCCUUAUGCUCAAGGCCCUGGGUUCAAUCCCCAGCACCCACC
rnacentral:tRNA from 1 species